AAUCGACGCUGGCGGCGUGCCUAACACAUGCAAGUCGCACGAGAAAGCGGACUUCGGUCUGCAAGUACAGUGGCGCACGGGUGAGUAACACGUGAAUUAUCUACCUUCGAGUGGGGAAUAACCUCGGGAAACCGAGGCUAAUACCGCAUAACACUUACGAGUCAAAGCAGCAAUGCGCUUGAAGAGGAGUUCGCGGCAGAUUAGUUAGUUGGCGGGGUAAUGGCCCACCAAGACGAUGAUCUGUAUCCGGCCUGAGAGGGCGCACGGACACACUGGAACUGAAACACGGUCCAGACUCCUACGGGAGGCAGCAGUGGGGAAUUUUGCGCAAUGGGGGAAACCUUGACGCAGCAACGCCGCGUGGAGGAUGAAAUCCCUUGGGAUGUAAACUCCUUUCGAUCGGGACGAUUAUGACGGUACCGGAAGAAGAAGCCCCGGCUAACUUCGUGCCAGCCGCCGCGGUAACAC
rnacentral:rRNA from 1 species